rnacentral:rRNA from 1 species
GAUGAACGCUGGCGGCGUGCCUAAUACAUGCAAGUCGAGCGAACAGACGAGGAGCUUGCUCCUCUGACGUUAGCGGCGGACGGGUGAGUAACACGUGGAUAACCUACCUAUAAGACUGGGAUAACUUCGGGAAACCGGAGCUAAUACCGGAUAAUAUAUUGAACCGCAUGGUUCAAUAGUGAAAGACGGUUUUGCUGUCACUUAUAGAUGGAUCCGCGCCGCAUUAGCUAGUUGGUAAGGUAACGGCUUACCAAGGCAACGAUGCGUAGCCGACCUGAGAGGGUGAGCGGCCACACUGGAACUGAGACACGGUCCAGACUCACACGGGAGGCAGCAGUAGGGAAUCUUCCGCAAGGGGCGAAAGCCUGACGGAGCAACGCCGCGUGAGUGAUGAAGGUCUUCGGAUCGUAAAACUCUGUUAUUAGGGAAGAACAAAUGUGUAAGUAACUAUGCACGUCGUGACGGUACCUAAUCAGAAAGCCACGGCUAACUACG